ensembl:lncRNA
CAGGAACCACUAGGGGGCGCCCCUGCUGGGGAGGGUCUGGUCUGAUCGCCUUAACCUGGUCUCUGUUCAGCUUUGACUGCGCUUCAGAAUCCACCCAGACUCACCGAAGGACGCAGUUAUUCCUGAAUGAGGCAAAAGGACACAGCUUCUCAGUGUCUGCCUGUCAGACUUCUUGGCCUCGGGCUGAAAAUUUUAUGUAGUUCUCAGGAGUUCCUGCAAGGCUGGCUUCAAGGAGCCCCUUCACCUCACCCUCCCAGACCACAGAGAGCAGCAAGAAUCCUUCCAGGCAGACUAGGUUGGAUUGGAUUCAGGAGCCUAAUUACCACCAGAAAAUUAAAGAAAGAAAACCUCUUGACCAGGGCUACCUAUGAAUGGCUGCAGGAAAGAAGAAAUAAACACAUUCCUUUCAGAGUCUGAUUGGAACCAGGACUUUACCCCUAUUGGUACAAAAGAAGCCUGAAUUCUAACUCAGGGAAGAUGUCUCUUUAGGACAUUAGUCCACCAUCUUUUUGGUCUGCUAGCUUUCCAAAUAAAGUCACUAUUCCUUGCCCCAAU